CCGCGCUGGGUGCGCGGGCCCGCCGAGGAAUCCCAGGAAUGAGGGAAUGCUGCUGCGAGCAGGUGGGGAGCGCCGCCCGCACCCAUUGGCCGCCGCCGCCGUGACGUCAGCGCCAUUAGGGUAAUGAGGCAAUGACGUCACAUCCUCGCAGAAAAGACUUCACCCCAUGGAUGUUCCCAUAAGAUGAAGACAGACAAGACUGCUGAAAAAAAGAUUAAAUACGAAAGGAGUGUCAGAAGAACAAAUGAAAAUCAACCCUUGGCCACAAGCCACUGGUUUUAAUUUAAUUUUUUUCUUUGAUAGAAAGACCACAAAUGCUUCACAGCAGAGCUCCAAAUGGCAAAUUCAGUGUAAAAGAAAGGUCAGUAUAGCCAGUGAUCCACAGCUGAAGGACAAGAUGAACUUUAGUCCAACUGGCAUCAUUAAAAUCAUGAACAAAUGAAAAUCAAGACAGAUGCUAAAUGAUUUUCCUGGUUUCCAUGUAAACCCAUAGUAAGCWACAUCAUUUACAGACAUUUGCAGGCUGUAAGAUCAGGUCCUUCAGUCACCAGGAGUUCUUGGAAACCAAAGGCACCAGCAGGAGGCCACUGGGCAUCAAAAGGCUGCCUAAAGCCCUUGGAAUAUGCAGCUAUCAGCUCAAGGGUGAGCUGUGGAAUCUCUCUGGAAGAACCAAGCUCAGCCACGUUUGCUGGAUGCAAACACCAACCCCGAUUUUCCCACUGCUUUGUGGUUCUCACAGCCUGAGCUUGGGAACUGCUGAGGGUUUAGGAUCCUUCCUGACUAGGGAUUGCUAGACUAAGGUCAGUUAUCUCAUCAGGAUAAGUGG